rnacentral:rRNA from 1 species
GACGAACGCUGGCGGCGUGCCUAAUACAUGCAAGUAGAACGCAGUUGCGAACGGGUGAGUAACGCGUAGGGAACUGCCUCAAAGCGGGGGAUAACAAUUGGAAACGAUAGCUAAUACCCCAUAUUGUGAGAUGGACCUGCGUUGGAUUAGCUAGGUGGUGAGGUAAAGGCUCACCAAGGCGACGAUACCUAGACGGCCUUGGAGGGUGGUCGGCCACACUGGGACUGGGAAACGGCCCCAGAUCCUUCGGGAGGGAGCAGUAGGGGAUCAUCGGCAAUGGACGGAAGGCUGACCGAACAAAGCCGCGUGAGUGAAGAAGGUUUUCGGAUCGUAAAGCUCUGUUGUGAGAGAAGCGUUAACUAAACAGAAAGGGACGGCUAACUACGUGCCAGCAGCCGCGGUAAUUC